rnacentral:rRNA from 1 species
UACGUAGGGUGCGAGCGUUAAUCGGAAUUACUGGGCGUAAAGCGUGCGCAGGCGGUUCUCCAAGUCCGUUGUGAAAUCCCCGGGCUCAACCUGGGAACUGCAUCUGUGACUGCAUUGCUGGAGUGCGGCAGAGGGGGAUGGAAUUCCGCGUGUAGCAGUGAAAUGCGUAGAUAUGCGGAGGAACACCGAUGGCGAAGGCAAUCCCCUGGGCCUGCACUGACGCUCAUGCACGAAAGCGUGGGGAGCAAACAGG